rnacentral:rRNA from 1 species
UUCGGGUUGUAAAGCCCUUUUGUUGAAAAAGAAAAGCAACCGGUUAUUACCCGGUUGCACUGACGGUACCCAAAGAAUAAGCACCGGCUAACUUCGUGCCAGCAGCCGCGGUAAUACGAAGGGUGCAAGCGUUACUCGGANUUACUGGGCGUAAAGCGUGCGUCGGUGGUUCGUUAAAUCUGAUGUGAAAGCCCUGGGCUCAACCUGGANAUUGCAUUGCAUACUGGCGGGCUAGAGUGCGGAAGAGGGUAGUGGAAUUCCCGGUGUAGCANUGAAAUGCAUAAAGAUCGGGAGGAACAUCCGUGGCGAAGGCGACUGCCGGGACAGGCACUGANACUG